UGGAACAGGAGGUCAUGGAGGGUGAGAACCCCGUAUGUGGCUUGGGCGACGUGGUCCUUGUGACGUAUCCUCUAAGAGUCGGGUUGUUUGGGAAUGCAGCUCAAAAUGGGUGGUAAAUUUCAUCUAAAGCUAAAUAUUGGUGAGAGACCGAUAGCAAACAAGUAGAGUGAUCGAAAGAUGAAAAGUACUUUGAAAAGAGAGUGAAACAGUACGUGAAAUUGUUGAAAGGGAAGCGUUUGGCAUCAGCCCAUGGCGGCGGUCGAACAUCUGGGUUUUUUGCUCUGUGCACUCGGCAGUCGCCGGGCCAGCGUCGGUUCCACCUGCUGGAGAAAGGCCUUGGGGAAGUGGCACUCCCUUGUGGAGUGUGUUAUAACCCAUGGCGUCAUGCGGCUUGGUGGGACCGAGGUCCGCGGUUUUGUCCUAGGACGCUGGCGUAAUGGUUCCAAGCGACCCGUCUUGAAACACGGACCAAGGAGUCUAACAUCUAUGCGAGUGUUUGGGUGUCAAGC
rnacentral:rRNA from 1 species